AGUGAACGCUGGCGGUAGGCCUAACACAUGCAAGUCGAACGGCAGCACAGUAAGAGCUUGCUCUUACGGGUGGCGAGUGGCGGACGGGUGAGGAGUACAUCGGAAUCUACUUUUUCGUGGGGGAUAACGUAGGGAAACUUACGCUAAUACCGCAUACGACCUACGGGUGAAAGCAGGGGAUCUUCGGACCUUGCGCGAUUGAAUGAGCCGAUGUCGGAUUAGCUAGUUGGCGGGGUAAGGGCCCACCAAGGCGACGAUCCGUAGCUGGUCUGAGAGGAUGAUCAGCCACACUGGAACUGAGACACGGUCCAGACUCCUACGGGAGGCAGCAGUGGGGAAUAUUGGACAAUGGGCGCAAGCCUGAUCCAGCCAUACCGCGUGGGUGAAGAAGGCCUUCGGGUUGUAAAGCCCUUUUGUUGGGAAAGAAAAGCAGCAGGUUAAUACCUCGCUGUUCUGACGGUACCCAAAGAAUAAGCACCGGCUAACUUCGUG
rnacentral:rRNA from 1 species